UAUUACAUCUAAAAGAAUUUCUUAUCUGAUCGGUUGUCUAUCGGAGCGUCACAAAAAAACAACAAGAUGGUAAGUACGAAAAUAUAUAUUUUAAAGAAAAAAUAUUGCAAAUUUUGUGGACUGGAAUAAUAUAAACUCGCGAGAGAAUAUCGAUCAUAUAUGAACGCAUAUUCGAGGAGAAAACACUUGAUAGCCAGAAGGAGUGACAGAGAAAUAUAUUCAGUUUAUUUCAUAUGCACCAUCAUGUAUUUCACAUUUAGCUAUUAGAACUCUUUUUUUAAAUAUUGUAAUUUUGAACGAUACAUUUACAUAUACGUCAUACACAUAAAGUUUUACGCUGGGAUUAAUUCUUACGACAGAGGUACUUUCGACUCAAGGCCAAGUGGCCAAAUUUCCCUUAAAACCUGUGAUAGCUCGUACAUAUGUAUGUAUCUAUUCGUUACCACAUCAUGUUCCGUGUUUUGCGAACAUGCGUUCGAACUUUCUUACAAGGCAAAGAGUCUUACAGGCUAUGAUAUGUAUUUUUUGUGUGCAGUUCAUAACAUUUCAACCGUUUCCUUAGCCCGACUAAGAGAAAAGAGAUAUUCUCACAGCAGAAACAGAGAUUUUCGAUAAAAUGUAUAUAUAAAGUUAUAUAAUAUCAAGCACAUACACACACACACAUAUUUACGGAAUAAUAUAAACCAAUAUAUAUAUAAAAUAUUUUCAGACAAUUGGGAUAUAUUGUUUUACGUCUAAAGAGAAGAUACAAUAUAAUACAAACGUAUAUAUAUAUAUAUAUAGAUAUAUAUAUA